GCCUGGCUAGCUCAGUUGGAGGGGCAUGUGACUCUUGACCUCAGGGUUGUGAGUUUAAGUCCCACGUUGGGCA
rnacentral:tRNA from 1 species